rnacentral:sRNA from 1 species
GUUAGUUUAGCCCAAGUCCAUGUGAGUCUUUGUGUUUGUAUCUUCUAACAAGGAAACACUACUUAGGCUUUUAAGAUAAGAUUGCGGUUUAAGUUCUUAUACUCAAUCAUACACAUGACAUCAAGUUAUAUUCGACUCCAAAACACUAACCAAGCUUCUUCUUGCUUCUCAAAGCUUUGAUGGUUUAGCCAAAGUCCAUAUGAGUCUUUAUUUUUGUAUCUUCUAACAAGGAAACACUACUUAGGCUUUUAGGAUAAGCUUGCGGUUUAAGUUCUUAUACUCAAUCAUACACAUGACAUCAAGUCAUACUCGACUCCAAAACACUAACCAAGCUUCUUCUUGCUUCUCAAAGCUUUAAUGGUUUACCCGAAGUCCAUAUGAGUCUUUGUAGUUGUAUCUUCUAACAAGGAAACACUACUUAGGCUUUUAGGAUAAGAUUGCGGUUUAAGUUCUUAUACUCAAUCAUACACAUGACAUCAAGUCAUAGUCGACUCCAAAA